UUCUAGCCCUGAUUGCAAUGGAAAUCCUUUUUGUUUUUUCUUUAAAAACAAAAAGAUUGAAAUGGAAAGCAGGAAACAGC
rnacentral:sRNA from 1 species